rnacentral:lncRNA from 1 species
UCAAUAAAAAUAAAUUAUCCAUCAAUUUAUGUAUUAAAUAAAAUAAGGUAAAGAUUAGAAGUUUAAACAUAUUAUCCUACAUUAUUCCAAUUUUACUCUAAAUCUAAUAAUACAAAACAUCUCAAACAUACUCCAUAUUAUAACAUCAAAAAAUAUUAAUUGGUUAAACACAUGUGAAUUUGAGCAAGUACAUAAUAUUUUGUCAGAAUGAAGUUUCAUAUAAUUGUCAAACUGCAUUACAAAGGGAGAUUGUGUAUUAUCUCUUGUGGAAAUUAAUUUUCAAUACCUAACAUGCAAAAACCACAAACUCGAAAUGUCGAGUAAAACCUAAAGACAUAAUCUUGGUUGUCUUUUGGAAGGACGUGAGAGUGUGUUAUUGUUCUCUUAUUUAUGGGCUGCUGCAGAUUGUAGUAGUAAUGUUAUUGUAGGUAACAUGAGAGAAUUAAAUUUUAUUGUUACUAGUUGUUCUUUGGUGCAGGGAGUAUUCUUUUUGGUUGUGAAGGGAGUAAUACGAUUGUCCUCUU